rnacentral:sRNA from 1 species
AUGGAUAUGCACCCAUUUUUUAUACGUCUUGUAACAUGAAAGAAAAGAUGAUAUCCGACAGCGCAAAAUUGGAAAAAACACACUGUUAUUAAAGUUAAGUUAGUUUUUAGAUCUUUAUGCGACUUAACUGAAUGUUGACCUGAUAAUAUACUUUAGAAUUGAUUCACUGCAUGUUGACAUGACAAUAAACAAUGACCAACUGCUUGUUAACGUAACAACAUAGAUCGACUCACAGUAUGUUUUUAUUUAAUUUUUGUUUCUAAUCUCUUGUAUAAUUAAUUAAUUCUUUGAGUUGGAAAGUUUCUUGUUAGAAAAGGCUUAUACUUCAAGUCAUUCAAGUUUGGAUUGUGAUGCGGCUAAGAUUUUAAAUUUGUUAUCUUUCUUUUUUACUGUAACAAGUAGAAUAUUUAAAAAUAGGUUUGUAAAAUUAAAUCCAUCUUAUUUUCAAAUGAAUAUUUACCCAUAUUUGAUACAGGUCUUGGUGAAUGGAGGAAAGAUGAUUAAGAUCAAUAAAAAACAAUGUGAUGUGCUCUCUCCAGAACUCAACAUGAGAAUAAGUCUGAUUCUUUUUGUUUGAAAGUAUUUUUCAGAGGACGCUCAUACUUCCAAGUCAUUCAAGUUGGAUUGUGAUGUUGAUCACAAAACAAGGAAGUGAAGUGGGCUCUCCAGAAUUCAACCUUUCCACUGUAACAUAAGUAUUAAGGUGCUUUUUAAAUAUUUUUCAACCUUAAUUUAAUAAUAUAUUUUGUAUUGUGUGUGUGUGUUUUGUCAUGAUAGCAUCUGUUAAAUGUUUUUGUUUAUUAUCUUGUUUUAAGCCAUGUGUACUUUUGUGUUGUUUUGUCAUGUUGACAUAACUUACAGAUACUUUAGACAUACACAUGGAGUGUAGGGUAAUGGGAAAGGUUUUUUUGAUAGUCAUAUUCUUUAAAAUAGUUAAAGCCUGAUAUAUCCCAUCUACCUAGCUCAUGUAUGGCUCUUCUUGCCAUACUCCUAGCAACAGCGUUGACUCACUGGCUGAGUGAAAGCAGUUUGUUACUUACUGAAAUGUUCAGUGUUAAACAUAUUAAGAUUUGUUUCCACAAGGAACAUUGUAGAUGAUGAUUAAUGUACUUGUUAAUGAUCUACAUCAAUAAUGCAUCAUUAGAAUACAAAUUACAUUUUGUGAAAAUAAAAAAUUCAGACUAUGCUUUUCAACAAAAUUUAGUCAGAUGUUUUUCUUUCUCGGAGAUCUUGGACUGUUGCAAUUGUAAAGGAUAUUGUUUGUUAGAAUUAGACUAUAUUGAUUGUUACAAUAUUGUUUUUGGCUUGAAAUCCUGUAUAGACUAUGAAUGUAUCGUCAAGAAGGUAGAGAGAGUUGUUAUGACUAUAGAUGUGAGAAAUUAGAGAUUGUAGUGUGAGAAAAAUUUGAUUUGAUACAUGUACUUACAGAAGAGCACUGAUGGUGACAAAUUUUGGAUGCUAUGUAGAAUAAUUAAGUUAAGAUAUGUAGAAUAUGUUU